GGCGUCCGCGCUUGAGCCGGCAGCUGCAGAAGCCGCCCCUUAGCACGCUGCCUGCUGUGUUCUCAAAACCCGAGCGCUCACCCAGAAAAGGGAAAACUGACUUGGCAUAGGUGAGGCCAACGGCGUGCCUGUGCAAAGGGACCGGCCAGGAUGGUGAAUCCCACAGGAGCUGAGCAGAGCUGAGCUCCCGUGGGAUCUGCUCUGAUCGCAGAGGAACUGAGCUCCCUUUUAGUCUGGGAUAGACGGCAUUUCCUUGAAAAACAAAUACAGAUGUCCUGCAGCAUAACUGAUGUGGGAGCUCUGACUGUUGUGGACAGUUCAGUGUCGGAGACCAUUUCAGGGCUGUCUCACACCGGAGCUGCUAGUCUUGCAAAUAAUCCUAACUUUCCGAAACCAACUAUGUAGCAAGCGUCCUGUGGCAUGUUUAAUUGUUACCCAAAAGAGACUAACUCAAAAUAACUAAUGGGGAUUACUUGGAACAAGAGUUACUGGCAUCAGACUUAGUUGUAGCUGAAGUUGGGUACGGCUGAAGCUUACUCUGUGUGGAGCUACUGUUUCUCUGCCAUCACUAUAAUUUCUUUUAAAAUACUGAUGGUUAUUAUGCUUCUGUUUUGUCACUGCUUAGGUUAAGUUACUUUUUGCUGCUGCUUACAAAAAGUCUGUAUAGAACUGUAUAGCCUGUGUUCCCCUUAAGAUCCCUGCCUGCAUAACAAAAUACAGUUCAGUGGCAAAUGAAGUAACAAGAUAGUAUUUAACAUAUGAUAACUUCUAAUAUUUCACGUUAGUAUUGCUCAGAACUGAAAGAAUUAAUGUUUUCACAACAAAAAAUUCUAAAAUACUCUGUGUGUGAACAAAAACCACCAAUUGGGUGAUUGGAUACCUUCCGUUCUGGAUACCUACAUUACUAAAUCCUCAACAGAAUUUUUUGAUUUUCAGUAGCAUUUCUUAUGCCUGUCUGCACUGAUGCUGGAGCAAACACUGGGGCGUUUAGGGAAAGUUAAAACUGUAAAUUUUAAGGCAGUUGGAAAUGACAGCUAAAGAAAAUACUAAGCCUCAGCAGUUUGUCCUUUUCCUGUGCUGCUCCCCACCCCCUGUGGGUUUAGGGAAGGAACUGUAAAUGAUAUUUCCUUUCCACUGUUUUCAGUGCAGUGAUCAUAAAUGGAUUUCACCUUCUAAUGCUCUCUAGGAAUUUGCUUGCUAUUGGAGGACAGAUCUGGCUUUGUAGUAAAUUUAAAUGGGAUGUGUGGUAAGUGUAGAUCGACUGCUUGAAACCUGCUAUGAAGAAAGGUGGGAGGAAGUAGAAUGUUUCUACUUGAACUGCAAAGAAAAGGGGUGGUAAAGAUAUUUCCAUCGGAUCCGCUGGAAAUGCACCAACAGCUUGAGCUUUUGUCUAAAAGUGAUGUUUAAACUAGAAUCCUAGCAGAUUCCACAGGGAGAAAACCCGUGAAGCCCAGUGAAAUACAGCUCAAACUCCAUAACAGUAUGAGAUGGGAAAUCUUGCUGAAGUCAGUGUGUCACACUCUGUGGAGUCCACAGUCUGAUGCAGGUCAGUCACACCAGCAAGAAACAGCAAGGGACGCAAGGCCACCUCUUGAAAGAAGGGGUGAGUUGGCAUCUGGAAGGCUUGCAGAGCAGUAGGAGGAACACAGCUUCCAGAUCUUUUCAAAUGCAGAAUUGUGAACUUUAACUUUGCAUUUACUGAAAAGUAAAGCUUGAUAAAAUAGGGUUUCCCAUACCAAUUUCCUUUUUUUUAAGGAUCUGUAUUUUAUACUAAGAAAAAGACAGUCUUUAGUUACUGCUAGGUAAUUGCUAGCAGGUAGGGAUGCUUUGUCAUCUCUGUCAUUCUUUUAAGGAGCACUGUACUUCAAAUGCUCAUCUCUUGUACUUCUUGAGGUUUACAUGUUAUAUCAAUUGUAAUCAAUUUUGCCUUUGCAGAAAAAGUACAUCAUAUGCCCAUUUAUUACUUACUAAUAAGCUGAAGGAUAAGAUGCUGUUGAAAGACUAUUAAAUACUGUUCUGCAUGCAGAUUAGACAAAUGAUCAAAGUGCAGUUUAAGAUUCAGGUAUGGAAUGCAGGAAAACAAAUGUUUUCGGGUCUUUUAAAGGCUGUCUGCCUUUAAUUUUGUUCUUCAUUUCUUUUAUACAACCAUACCAAAAUACUUCAUUAGUGAUUGUGUGUUACUUCUGUGUAUAUGUUUUUGUUUAUAAGGUCAUUUACAGACUUAACCAUGAACUAAUGAAGAAUUUGUACUGUAAAUCAAAUUUAAAAAUCUUGAUUUAAAUGCUCUAAACGUGGAAGAUAGCUCAGUUACUUGAGAAAAAAGACUAAAUAAACAUUUGAAUUAUCUGCGCUUUAGCAGCACCUUCUGUUUCUACUAAAUUUUUUAGCUUAACAUUAUAGCAGUUAGAUUAUGUCCUUUCUGUUGCAGACGUCAUCUUCAAUGUCUUUGCUUGCUCAUUCUUUUCUAGAGUGAAACUUCAACCCCUGCUUAGUAGUCUAGCCCAAAUGUGGAAAGUGCCAAACUUCUUAAUAUGAGGUUGAUCUUUAUGAAGCAAGUUUAAAACUUGCACGUGCCUGGAGAUGAUACCCACCCAUAGAAAUGCAGCAGUUCCUUGAUGACUAGUCCUUCCUUACCUCCUUCUCUGCUGUCUUCUCUGUUGCCUGCAAGUAGAAAUAACUCAGCAGAGUGAACGUCGGAAGAAGCCUGAUUUGAAAAUAAGGCUCCUGACUGGAUGGAUGACUGUGGCCUGAUACAGAAAUGGAAUGGCAGACCACAUGGGUUGGGCUGGAUGAGGGCAAAUUCAAGAUGAGUCUUACAUUUUUUUGCAUAGGCAAACUUCUACACCUUGGUGGGAAACUUAACUGUCAUAUUUCUAUUCCAGAAGUAAGAUGCUCUCAAUACUCUAGUUCUAAGAAUCUAAAGCAUAGUUAAUCAAAAUAGGAAGUUAUUUAAUGGCUUAUCCUACUGCCCUCUCUCCCGCCAAAGCAAGUGUAGAAACACAGGUCAGCUUGAUCGUGUCGGACACAGAUGUCACUACACAGUAGUGCAAGUGAUUCUUCAUUGGGUCAAGAGAAGAGCUUUUCAGGAAAACUGGCACUAAGUACUGAAAUGUGCUUUCUUUUCAGUUUAUAACUUGUGGGUUUUUUUCUACCUCAUUGAGACAACCAAGAAAUAACAUUUCUUGUUGCGUCCUGUGGUGCUUACCUAUUUAAUUGUUGUAGAAAUGAAUCCUUAAUCCUACUCCAGGGGUUGCAAACCUUUGCAACUCAAGAAGGUGGCGAUUUGUUUUCUUUUGCUGUGCUUCUCUCCUGUGCUUUAGGAAUCCUUACAAAACGGUCACGAAUAUACCCGUUUAAGUGGUAGGCUUCACAGUAUGUCCAGCACACAAGUCCAGGUUUUAAAGACUCUGUUUUUUGCAGCGUAGCUGUUUGCUGGAAAGGAAAAUGAGUUAGAAGCUGCCUCAUCUCAUUGAGAACAUGGAGAUAAGCAGCUUUCUUGUGUGUUGGAACUCGAGUUGCUUAUGAUCCAAACUUAGUAGUUCUAC